rnacentral:tRNA from 1 species
UCCGAUAUGGUGUAGUGGCUAACAUCGCUCGCUCUCAACUUUGAGUUAAAGAUCCGAGCAGCCCGGGGUUCGAUUCCCCGUAUCGGAG